rnacentral:rRNA from 1 species
UACGUAGGGGGCAAGCGUUGUCCGGAUUUAUUGGGCGUAAAGAGCGUGUAGGCGGCCAGGUAGGUCGGUUGUGAAAACUGGAGGCUCAACCUCCAGACGUCGACCGAAACCAUCUGGCUAGAGUCCGGAAGAGGAGAGUGGAAUUCCUGGUGUAGCGGUGAAAUGCGCAGAUAUCAGGAAGAACACCCGUGGCGAAGGCGGUUCUCUGGGCCUUACCUGACGCUGAGGAGCGAAAGCGUGGGGAGCGAACAGG